UCCGUAACAUGCAAGUCGAGCGGUAGCACAGAGAGCUUGCUCUCGGGUGACGAGCGGCGGACGGGUGAGUAAUGUCUGGGAAACUGCCUGAUGGAGGGGGAUAACUACUGGAAACGGUAGCUAAUACCGCAUAACGUCGCAAGACCAAAGUGGGGGACCUUCGGGCCUCAUGCCAUCAGAUGUGCCCAGAUGGGAUUAGCUAGUAGGUGGGGUAACGGCUCACCUAGGCGACGAUCCCUAGCUGGUCUGAGAGGAUGAUCCGCCACACUGGAACUGAGACACGGUCCAGACUCCUACGGGAGGCAGCAGUGGGGAAUAUUGCACAAUGGGCGCAAGCCUGAUGCAGCCAUGCCGCGUGUGUGAAGAAGGCCUUCGGGUUGUAAAGCACUUUCAGCGGGGAGGAAGGCGUUGAGGUUAAUAACCUUGUCGAUUGACGUUACCCGCAGAAGAAGCACCGGCUAACUCCGUGCCAGCAGCCGCGGUAAGAAGGAGGGUGCAAGCGUUAAUCGGAAUUACUGGGCGUAAAGCGCACGCAGGCGGUCUGUCAAGUCGGAUGUGAAAUCCCCGGGCUCAACCUGGGAACUGCAUUCGAAACUGGCAGGCUAGAGUCUUGUAGAGGGGGGUAGAAUUCCAGGUGUAGCGGUGAAAUGCGUAGAGAUCUGGAGGAAUACCGGUGGCGAAGGCGGCCCCCUGGACAAAGACUGACGCUCAGGUGCGAAAGCGUGGGGAGCAAACAGGAUUAGAUACCCUGGUAGUCCACGCCGUAAACGAUGUCGAUUUGGAGGUUGUGCCCUUGAGGCGUGGCUUCCGGAGCUAACGCGUUAAAUCGACCGCCUGGGGAGUACGGCCGCAAGGUUAAAACUCAAAUGAAUUGACGGGGGCCCGCACAAGCGGUGGAGCAUGUGGUUUAAUUCGAUGCAACGCGAGUAACCUUACCUGGUCUUGACAUCCACAGAACUUUCCAGAGAUGGAUUGGUGCCUUCGGGAACUGUGAGACAGGUGCUGCAUGGCUGUCGUCAGCUCGUGUUGUGAAAUGUUGGGUUAAGUCCCGCAACGAGCGCAACCCUUAUCCUUUGUUGCCAGCGGUUCGGCCGGGAACUCAAAGGAGACUGCCAGUGAUAAACUGGAGGAAGGUGGGGAUGACGUCAAGUCAUCAUGGCCCUUACGACCAGGGCUACACACGUGCUACAAUGGCAUAUACAAAGAGAAGCGACCUCGCGAGAGCAAGCGGACCUCAUAAAGUAUGUCGUAGUCCGGAUUGGAGUCUGCAACUCGACUCCAUGAAGUCGGAAUCGCUAGUAAUCGUAGAUCAGAAUGCUACGGUGAAUACGUUCCCGGGCCUUGUACACACCGCCCGUCACACCAUGGGAGUGGGUUGCAAAAGAAGUAGGUAGCUUAACCUUCGGGAGGGCGUACUCG
rnacentral:rRNA from 1 species